AGGACGAACGCUGGCGGCGUGCUUAACACAUGCAAGUCGAGGGCGUUUUGGCCGCAAGGCUGGAGCGACCGGCGAACGGGUGCGUAACACGUGAGCGACCUGCCCGCUUGUGGGGGAUAGCCGGCCCAACGGCCGGGUAAUACCGCAUACGCUCGUUGAGGGGCAUCCCCUUGGCGAGGAAAACUCAGGUGCAGGCGGAGGGGCUCGCGGCCUAUCAGCUAGUUGGCGGGGUAACGCCCACCAAGGCUUUGACGGGUAGC
rnacentral:rRNA from 1 species